rnacentral:lncRNA from 1 species
CAUCUCUCAGCUUAGUGCAGAACAACUUGCAAGUUCACUCUUCCCAACACUGGACCAGGCUACCUGGUGUCCUGCACAGGGGCCUUCGCCUGGAAGGCCUCCAUCUGCUCAUUCCUCAGGUUCCAGGCUCCAGAGCCAUGAAGGGGGCUAACGGAGCCACCAUGCCUGCUCACGUCAGAGGGUAGGUUCCAAGUCCACCUUGAAGAACCUUUGCUGGCUCCACGCUCAUGUUUUCAUUUAGAGGCUUCUUGGCUUUAUGUCGGAGAUCAAGUCACAAUCCAUCUUGAAAUAUUUUGGAGGAGCUUUACUUUGGGUUUGAACAUGGUCUUAGGAAGAUGUUCUCCUGAGACAGGAGAUACCUGGGGACACACCUGAUGUAAAGC